UCUAAACUCAGUCUCACGAAUCACAUAGGACUAUUUUUCCAUCAAGAUCGAUAGAUUCUAUCUAAGUUCAUCUUAGUCUAAACAACGAACCUGAACCCACUUUAGCUAACAUAUAUAGCAAAGAUCUGAAUGGCUUAAGAUCAAAUGAAUAUGCAGUCAAACUACAGUAGCAUCACGGUGAAUAGCCAAGGCAUCGUAGGUCAAAGGACAACUCACACCACUGC
rnacentral:lncRNA from 1 species